GAACAUCAAUGCACGAAGAAUCAAACAGGAAACAAUUUGAUACUACACGAUUUGCUUACGCAUCUAUAUAAGCACCAUGUAUCGAAGGGUAAUAGAAACCAUCACAUAUUGGGCAUAAGAGCACCACUCGGGACGAAGGAAAAGGCUACGUAUUGCUUCUGGUCAUAUGGGGAACGCAAAGGCUUUAUGCUUGGUAGCUCUUGUUGUAAUGUCUACCUGUUGCUGGCCUUGUUCUGCAUCAGAGGGCGAUAUAGGUGUUGCAGAAGGUGAGCUUAGACAUACGUGUAACUACAUGCUAGGUGGUAACACUACGACAGAAAGGUGCAGAGGGAUUUGCGAGGCAAAGGGAAGUAUCUACAAUCCUGACGCAAGUUACAUUGAAGGCUGCGACAGGAGCUAUACAUGCAUGUGCUGUUGUGUUAUGUACUAAUGAGCUAGCAAGCCGUAGCGGCGAGUC